rnacentral:rRNA from 1 species
GCAAUAUGAAGGUCAGGCUGAAGACCUUACCCGAUUAGCUGAGAGGUGGUGCAUGGCCGUCGUCAGUUCGUACUGUGAAGCAUCCUGUUAAGUCAGGCAACGAGCGAGACCCACGUCCACAGUUGCCAGCAUACCCUCCGGGGUGAUGGGUACACUGUGGAGACCGCCGCUGCUAAAGCGGAGGAAGGAGUGGGCAACGGUAGGUCAGUAUGCCCCGAAUCUCCCGGGCUACACGCGGGCUACAAUGGUUGGUACAAUGGGCAUCUACCCCGAAAGGGGAAGGAAAUCUCCUAAAGCCAAUCGUAGUUCGGAUUGAGGGCUGCAACUCGCCCUCAUGAAGCUGGAAUCCGUAGUAAUCGCGUUUCAACAGAACGCGGUGAAUACGUCCCUGCUCCUU